ACGUAGGGGGCAAGCGUUAUCCGGAUUUACUGGGUGUAAAGGGAGCGUAGACGGGAAUGCAAGUCUGAUGUGAAAGCCCAGGGCCCAACCCUGGGACUGCAUUGGAAACUGUAUGGCUAGAGUGCAGGAGAGGUAAGAGGAAUGCCUAGUGUAGCGGUGAAAUGCGUAGAAAUUGGGAGGAACACCGGUGGCGAAGGCGGCUUACUGGACUGUAACUGACGCUGAGGCUCGAAAGCGUGGGGAGCAAACAG
rnacentral:rRNA from 1 species